AUACGGAGGGAGCAAGCGUUAUUCGGAAUCACUGGGCGUAAAGGACGCGUAGGCGGGUUUGUAAGUCAGGUGUGAAAUCCUACAGCUCAACUGUAGAACUGCACUUGAAACUACAGACCUAGAGUAUGGAAGGGGCAGAUGGAAUUAGUGGUGUAGGGGUAAAAUCCGUAGAUAUCACUAGGAAUACCGAAAGCGAAGGCGAUCUGCUGGGACAUUACUGACGCUCAGGCGUGAAAGCGUGGGGAGCAAACAGGAUUAGAAACCCCAGUAGUCC
rnacentral:rRNA from 1 species